rnacentral:rRNA from 1 species
UACGUAGGCAGCGAGCGUUGUUCGGAUUUACUGGGCGUAAAGAGCGCGCAGGCGGUCGUUCAAGUCGAGUGUGAAAGCCCCCGGCUCAACUGGGGAGGGUCACUCGAUACUGAUCGACUUGAAGGCGGGAGAGGGAAGCGGAAUUCCCGGUGUAGUGGUGAAAUGCGUAGAUAUCGGGAGGAACACCAGUGGCGAAGGCGGCUUUCUGGCCCGUUCUUGACGCUGAGGCGCGAAAGCUAGGGUAGCAAACGGG